UACGGGGGGAGCAAGCGUUGUUCGGAUUUACUGGGCGUAAAGGGCGCGUAGGCGGUCGUGACAAGUCACUUGUGAAAUCUCCGGGCUUAACUCGGAACGGUCAAGUGAUACUGUCGGACUAGAGUACAGAAGGGGCAACUGGAAUUCUCGGUGUAGCGGUGAAAUGCGUAGAUAUCGAGAGGAACACCUGCGGCGAAGGCGGGUUGCUGGGCUGAUAACUGACGCUGGAGGCGACGAAAGCCAGGGGAGCGAACGGG
rnacentral:rRNA from 1 species